rnacentral:rRNA from 2 species
AAAGAAACCAACCGGGAUUGCCUCAGUAACGGCGAGUGAAGCGGCAAGAGCUCAAAUUUGAAAGCUGGCCCCUCCGGGGUCCGCAUUGUAAUUUGCAGAGGAUGCUUCGGGUGCAGCCCCCGUCUAAGUGCCCUGGAAUGGGCCGUCAGAGAGGGUGAGAAUCCCGUCUGGGAUGGGGUGCCUGUGCCCGUGUGAAGCUCCUUCGACGAGUCGAGUUGUUUGGGAAUGCAGCUCUAAAUGGGUGGUAAAUUUCAUCUAAAGCUAAAUAUUGGCCGGAGACCGAUAGCGCACAAGUAGAGUGAUCGAAAGAUGAAAAGCACUUUGAAAAGAGAGUUAAACAGCACGUGAAAUUGUUGAAAGGGAAGCGCUUGCGACCAGACUCGCCUCCGGGGUUCAGCCGGCAUUCGUGCCGGUGUACUUCCCCGGGGGCGGGCCAGCGUCGGUUUGGGCGGCCGGUCAAAGGCCUCCGGAAUGUAGCGCCCUUCGGGGCGCCUUAUAGCCGGGGGUGCAAUGCGGCCAGCCUGGACCGAGGAACGCGCUUCGGCUCGGACGCUGGCAUAAUGGUCGUAAACGAC